rnacentral:other from 2 species
UCAUCCCUAGAUUGUGCGUAUAGUGAUUAGUUGUUGAAUCCGAACAUCUCUGAUAAGGGAAUCUGGCGUUCUAAUAUGGUGUUGAAUGCUUAACCACUUCUUUGGUUAAGACUCCUAAUAUAUUAGACAGGAUACCCACCUGCUACCUUAGCGGGUUUUUAUCCUAACACUUACGGCAAUUUGGGCCCAUU